GACGAACGCUGGCGGCGUGCCUAACACAUGCCAGUCGAACGGAACUGUUUUGAAAGCUUUCUUCGGAAUGAAUUUGAUUUCGUUUAGUGGCGGACGGGUGAGUAACGCGUGAGUAACCUGCCUUCAAGAGGGGAAUAACAUUCUGAAAAGAAUGCUAAUACCGCAUGACAUAUCGGAACCACAUGGUUUUGAUAUCAAAGAUUUUAUCGCUUGAAGAUGGACUCGCGUCCGAUUAGUUAGUUGGUGAGGUAACGGCUCACCAAGACCGCGAUCGGUAGCCGGACUGAGAGGUUGAACGGCCACAUGGGGACUGAGACACGGCCCAGACUCCUACGGGAGGCAGCAGUGGGGGAUAUUGCGCAAUGGGGGCAACCCUGACGCAGCAACGCCGCGUGAAGGAUGAAGGUUUUCGGAGUGUAAACUUCUUUUAUUAAGGACGAAAAAUGACGGUACUUAAUGAAUAAGCUCCGGCUAACUACGUG
rnacentral:rRNA from 1 species